rnacentral:rRNA from 1 species
AUUGAACGCUGGCGGCAGGCCUAACACAUGCAAGUCGAGCGAGCGGCGGACGGGUGAGUAAUGCCUAGGAAUCUGCCUGGUAGUGGGGGAUAACGUCCGGAAACGGUAGCUAAUACCGCAUACCAUCGGAUUUGCCUAGAUGGGAUUGGCUUGUAGGUGGGGUAAAGGCUCACCUAGGCGACGAUCCCUAGCUGGUCUUAGAGGAUGACCAGCCACACUGGAACUUAGACACGGUCCAGAAUCCUACGUGAGGCAGCAGUGGGGAAUAUUGCACAAUGGGCGCAAGCCUGAUGCAGCCAUGCCGCGUGUAUGAAGAAGGCCUUCGGGUUUUAAAGUACUUGCAGCGGGGAGGCGUUACCCGCAGAAGAAGCACCGGCUAACUCCGUGCCAGCAGCCGCGGUAAUUC